rnacentral:snoRNA from 1 species
ACCAUUGAUGAUGAUAAUCUCAUCGAAUAUAUCCUCAAUGGAUUGAACUCAGAUUCAAUCCCUUUGUUUCCUCAAAGUCUACUAAAGAUUCUAUCAGCCUUAGUGAUCUUUAUGCUGACUUAUUAUCCUUUGAAG